AACGAACGCUGGCGGCAUGCCUAACACAUGCAAGUCGAACGAGACCUUCGGGCUUAGUGGCGCACGGGGGCGUAACGCGUGGGAACCUGCCCUUAGGUUCGGAAUAACUCCCCGAAAGGGGUGCUAAUACCGGAGAAUGUCUUCGGACCAAAGAUUUAUCGCCUUUGGAUGGGCCCGGGAUGGAUUAGCUGGUUGGUAGGGUAAAAGCCUACCAAUGCGACGAUCCAUAGCUGGUCUGAGAGGAUGAUCCGCCACACUGGGACUGAGACACGGCCCAGACUCCUACGGGAGGGAGCAGUGGGGAAUAUUGGACAAUGGGCGAAAGCCUGAUCCAGCAAUGCCGCGUAAGUGAUGAAGGCCUUAGGGUUGUAAAGCUCUUUUACCCGGGAUGAUAAUGACAGUACCGGGAGAAUAAGCUCCGGCUAACUCCGUG
rnacentral:rRNA from 1 species